UCCCCCUGGCAAUGGGCAAAGAGGCACCGUGUUGGUCUUGUAGUUCUUCUAUCAGCCAGGGGCAGAGCAGAUGGCAGUCCUAUGUUUAUCCUAGCUUGAUCCUGGCUUGGUGGCCAAAGCUAUUUCAUGCCUAGGACACAUAA
ensembl:snoRNA Gm23993 predicted gene, 23993